AGGGUUAUAGUUAAAUAUAACAUUUGAUUUGCAUUCAAAAGUAUGAAUAAUUAUCAAUUUCCUUA
rnacentral:tRNA from 1 species